rnacentral:rRNA from 1 species
GUUGUAUGGUUAAGUGACUAAGCGUACACGGUGGAUGCCUUGGCARUCAGAGGCGAUGAAGGACGUAUUAACUUGCGAUAAGCCCAGAUUAGGUAGUAAAAACCAUUUGAGUCUGGGAUUUCCGAAUGGGGAAACCCACUUACAUAAGUAAGUAUCGYURYGUGAAUACAUAGCRYARCGAGGCGAACCGGGGGAACUGAAACAUCUAAGUACCCCGAGGAAAAGAAAUCAACCGAGAUUCCGAAAGUAGCGGCGAGCGAAAUUGGACUAGCCCUUAAGCUUUACACGCGUUAG